rnacentral:lncRNA from 1 species
UGUGAUUUGGGUGGUCUCUCCACUUGUGAAAUUGAUAGUAGAAUAUUAUUACAUAAUGAUAAAAGCAUUAUGAGAAAAGGGAGUUGGAGAUGUCUUUUAUAUGCUUACUAAGUGUGGAUCUCACCAUUAUAGCUUUUUCUUUUAUUAUAUAACUGCAUUUAUGUGUUGCAGUUUUAUUAUUUAAAAUGUGAAGUUUACCGAUUUCAAUCUCAAAUUUGAUUAAAAGAUAUAUUUUAAAUUGCAGAAGUCUCUAUUAAAACACGAUGUACGUGCAUAUUGAAUAUGUCAUUGUAUGGACACUAUAUUAGGAAAAGAGACUUAAAAAUCAUCAUAAUGAUUUAUAAUUUUACUUGGUGAAUUUCAUGAAAUAUAAUUUGGAGAUAUAUAUGGUUACAAAUUGACAUGAGAUAAGUGUCAUCCACUUUUUUUUGUUCCUUUACGAAGUGGAUGUGACUUAUUGUGUUUUUGCCUUUUUGGGGGCUAAAUCAUCAUGUGCGUAUGCGCAUUAUCAUCCAACUGCGCAUUAUCAUCCAACUCUCUUAUGAUUCAUUUAUUUACUUCAUACGUUAUGUAGUUCUUUUCGUGAUUUCAAUAUCUAUGACCAUGAGGUUACAUAUGUUAGGGUUGUUCAACGGACUCAGUUCAUUUAGUCUCACUUACAUCCUACUUGGUAGGGGUGGGCACUUUGCCCGAUACCAGAAGCCGCACCCGAACC